GGCUCAAGUCAUGGCAGUAAAUUUGUGUCUAUACUCUGCCACUUUACUUUUGGCCUCAAGUCAUUGCGGUAAAGUGGCAGAGUGUAGACACAAAUUUAGGCCUUCUGACUCC